GGGUCUAGAUAUAGAAUUGAGGCCCAUCAUCAGUGACUCUAAAUCCACCCAUCUCCUUUCCUCAGGUGGGGUGUGUCAUAAAGCUAUUUGUGUUAGUUGUGUCACCAAAUAAUAAAAGUGAAGAUGGGGGAGCCCUAGGCCUCUUGCUGUCUUGGAUCUGUACAAAAUAUUAUGGGCUACCCUGUGUCGUUUAUUCUGCCAGACAAAGCUGUCGAUGGCGGUCUGUAAAG